rnacentral:rRNA from 1 species
AGUGAGGAAUAUUGCGCAAUGGGCGAAAGCCUGACGCAGCGACGCCGCGUGGAGGAUGAAGGUCUUCGGAUUGUAAACUCCUGUUAAGUGGGAAGAAAGACUCUUUCUUAAUAGGGAAGAGGGAUGACGGUACCAUUAUAGAAAGCACCGGCUAACUUCGUGCCAGCAGCCGCGGUAAUACGAGGGGUGCAAGCGUUAUUCGGAUUCAUUGGGCGUAAAGGGUGUGUAGGCGGCAACCUAAGUCAACUGUUAAAGACCCCGGCCUAACUGGGGACAGGCGGUAGAUACUGGGUUGCUAGAGGAAGGAAGAGAGAAGUGGAAUUCUCGGAGUAGCGGUAAAAUGCGUGGAUCUCGAGAGGAACACCAAUGGCGAAGGCAGCUUCUUGGUCCUUUCCUGACGCUGAGACACGAAAGCGUGGGGAGCAAACAGGAUUAGAUACCCUGGUAGUCCACGCCGUAAACGAUGAUCACUAGACGUUAGUCCUGUUUUUACAGGGUUAGUGUCGUAGCUAACGCGCUAAGUGAUCCGCCUGGGGACUACGGUCGCAAGAUUAAAACUCAAAGGAAUUGACGGGGGUCCGCACAAGCGGUGGAACAUGUGGUUUAAUUCGACAAUACGCGAGGAACCUUACCUAGGCUUGACAUGCUUCUGACACCCGUAGAAAUACGGUCUUCCGGGCUUUGGUCCGGACAGUUGCACAGGUGCUGCAUGGUUGUCGUCAGCUCGUGUCGUGAGAUGUUUGGUUAAGUCCUCUAACGAGCGCAACUCCUACUGUCAGUUGCUACUUUUUUUAAAGGCACUCUGACGGAACUGCCUGGGAAACCAGGAGGAAGGUGGGAAUGACGUCAAAUCAUCAUGGUCCUUAUGUCUAGGGCUACACACGUGUUACAAUGGCCAGUACAACGGGUUGCAAACUCGCAAGGAUAAGCUAAUCCCUGAAAGCUGGUCUAAGUUCGGAUUGAGGUCUGCAAUUCGACCUCAUGAAGUUGAAAUCGCUAGUAAUCGUGCAUCAGCAACGGCGCGGUGAAUACGUUCCCGGGCCUUGUACACACCGCCCGUCACACCACGAAAGUUCUUUGUACCCGAAGUCGCCUUAGCUAACCUGUAAAGGGGGCGGGUGCCUAAGGUAUGGGGGAUGAUUGGGGUG